rnacentral:rRNA from 1 species
UGCGUAGGUGGUUGGUUAAGUUUGAGGUGAAAGCUCCGAGCUCAACUCGGAAAAUACCUUGAAGACUAUCUGACUAGAGGAUUGGAGGGGAGAUUGGAAUUCUCGGUGUAGCAGUGAAAUGCGUAGAUAUCGAGAGGAACACCAGUGGCGAAGGCGAAUCUCUGGACAAUUCCUGACACUGAGGCACGAAAGCCAAGGGAGCAAACG